AAAUUGAAGAGUUUGAUCAUGGCUCAGAUUGAACGCUGGCGGCAGGCCUAACACAUGCAAGUCGAACGGUAACAGGAAGCAGCUUGCUGCUUCUCUGACGAGUGGCGGACGGGUGAGUAAUGUCUGGGAAACUGCCUGAUGGAGGGGGAUAACUACUGGAAACGGUGGCUAAUACCGCAUAACGUCGCAAGACCAAAGAGGGGGACCUUCGGGCCUCUUGCCAUCAGAUGUGCCCAGAUGGGAUUAGCU
rnacentral:rRNA from 1 species